CUUUAACAAGAACUGCCUGAAAAAAAACCCCAAAGGAGUUGAAAAUCCCCCCCUGGAGAGCAUCAGCAGGCACCCAGAAUACAUCUCCAGGGUCACUUAAUUCCCUGGAUCCUACCCAACUGCUAUUGAAGUUAAUUGAAAAAACUCCCAUUGCCUUGAAGAGGUUUUGGAUCCGACUCAAAUGGCUCAGUGGCAGCAGAUUACAAGAAGGAACCCCACUGUGCAAUUCCAGCCAUCUGCCUAUGGUGUGAUUCACCAGGAAACAUAAAGGCAAGAAAUGAAAGAAAGGAGCAAUCUCUGGAGAAGGGGCUGAGGAGAGGAGGCAGAAAAGAAGCCUCCUGUCUUUCAGGAAGGAUGCCUGUCCUCACAGCCGCGGUGUCUCCAAAACCUGUGCAAAAUUUCUGAUCUGCUUCAGUGCUGAGGAUGAUUUAAAUGAAUCUGUGUUACUCUGAACCAAAACAAAUGGGGAGUGCUUGCAUGAGCCACCAGG
rnacentral:lncRNA from 1 species